GGACAUACCUCUGGUGUACCAGUUGUUUUGCCAAAAGCAUCGCUGGGUAGCUAUGUAUGGAACGGAUAACCGCUGAAAGCAUCUAAGUGGGAAACCGACCUCAAAACUAGAUAUCUCCAUUAGAGUCGUGGUAGACCACCACGUUGAUAGGCAGAGUGUGUAAGCACAGCAAUGUGUUUAGCUAAUCUGUACUAAUAACUCGAUUGACUUAUAUGU
rnacentral:rRNA from 1 species